rnacentral:rRNA from 1 species
GUGAGGAAUAUUGGUCAAUGGGCGCAAGCCUGAACCAGCCAUCCCGCGUGCAGGAAGAAGGCGCUAUGCGUCGUAAACUGCUUUUCCGGAGGAAGAAAACCCCUGACGUGUCGGGGCUUGCCGGUACUCUGGGAAUAAGCAUCGGCUAACUCCGUGCCAGCAGCCGCGGUAAUACGGAGGAUGCGAGCGUUAUCCGGAUUUAUUGGGUUUAAAGGGUGCGUAGGCGGAUUAAUAAGUCAGUGGUGAAAACCUUCAGCUUAACUGGAGACUUGCCAUUGAUACUGUUAUUCUUGAGUACGGUCAAGGUAGGCGGAAUGUGUAAUGUAGCGGUGAAAUGCUUAGAUAUUACACAGAACACCGAUUGCGAAGGCAGCUUACUGGGCCAUUACUGACGCUGAUGCACGAAAGCGUGGGGAGCGAACAGGAUUAGAAACCCCAGUAGUCC